GCAUCUGGAUGUUGGAGUCCUCCACUGUUUGGCAUUGUCGUGUCUCCCAAACGCAGGGCUGUUGUGACUUAUUUGACAUAUCUUCCUGUUUCACAGGUUAAAGACUUUUUGAAGUAAAGAGGAGCAUCUCAUCUGAACCUGAUGUCUAUCAUGGAUAUUUAACUGCAGUUCUGUGAGUAUCCCAACUUAACCAUGAAGAUGAACUGCAAACUGUAAGUCAUUAAUUUCUCAUUACUCUUGGGCACAUUGUUGUAUUUUGGCUUCCUGGUGAGUUAACCCGUUACCUGAAGGUUGAUCUGUGGUAAGGAUGUUUUAUUGGUUCAUGGGUUACUUAGGUGUUUGGUUUAUGUUGGUUUUAAUGAUUUGUUAAAAUGGUUACAGGCUCCCAAGUUAUUGUUGUAAGCUGGAGUAAUGGGUUGGGUUCUGAUAUCUUCAGUCUUCUUUCCAGCUACUCUCCUGAGCUCUGCAUCUUCAUCACAUGAGUUUUGCUCUACUGAUGAGCGUGUGGUCUGAGUGAGCAGAGGUGCAUACUGGGAUACAGAGCUGUCUGAAGUCUACAGGUCUGUAGACACGCCCCCUCAGGGGAAACCGAGUGUUUGAGAAACCGUCGUGGCGUCAGUUACAUGGACUGGAAUGUUCUUUAAGAUGGAGACAGGGAUUCAGAAGGAGAAACGCCAGGGGGAGAUGAGGGGGCUCCUCAUCUCAACGACUAAAACACAACUUCAGUCUGACACAGAGAACCAUGGAACACUUUCAACAGUCCCCUCCAGCCAUCGUGACUCCUCAUGAACAGUUUCAUUUCCAAGAAGGUCUUAUUUGGGGCCAUCCCCAUAUGGAUCCUGCUCCUCAAGAGCCACCCCCCUCCACUGGGUGGUCUUCUGAACAGAUGACCUUCCUGUCCUCAGGCUGACUAAAGCUGCACCGUUUGCAUCUGUGAAGGCCCCUCAUUCAGGAAACCACUGGACUACAAAGACAUGACUUCAGAGACGUUGAAUCACCUUGGGACACAUUUUGGAGACGCCAAGCAUAAUCCAUCACCAAUGUGGGACGCCACUGAAAAAUGUUGCACAUAAUUUACUUCUCUGGAGACAUUGUUUGUUCUGUUCUGGGUGCCCUGGCAGGAGAGCUGGGGUUGGAUGAUGGAACGUUAUUUGGCAUGAGGUUUUUACCCUGCAUGAUUGUUUGGCCUUUUGUGUGUGUGUGAGUGUCCCACUCACACCUGGCAUGGGGUUCUACGUGCGUGUCCUGGAUUCUAUGUGUGUGUGUCCGGCUUGCUUUGACAGUAAUAAUGUUCAUACGGGGGUCUGUGUGAUUGGCUUGGGAUAUUGGUCGAUUAAAUCAUACCUGAUGGACGGCCCCAUGUUUACUUGAGGGCCUCCAGUAGACAUGAAGAGCCCAGAGCGAUGCUCCGGAGCGAGAUCCAACACACUGGGCAGGAAGGAGGGUAUCCAACUCAAGUGUAAAAGGAUGCAAGCGGCGUGUUCAGAUCAGUGACUUCAAACUAGGACUACACCAAUCAGGAUCAAUGGAGGAUGGACACCUAAAGGAAUUCCCAAAGGAGAGUCUGACGUUGGAAAGGGACCUAAAUGGAUAUUAAAGAUGACCUUCAGACCUGUAAUGAGACGGCUCUUCCUACCUGGCUGGAUUGAUGGAGAGCCCUGUGGAUCUUGUCUUGCUCUCAGUUGCACGUCUUCUCAGGCUGAACUGUGUUUGUUUCGGACAGGACUAGCUGAACGAUUGGUUCCCUUAAAUCAGAACCAAUCUGGGAACUCCAACUAGUGCGCUCUUCGAGCUGAAGUUGUGCUCUUCAGCUGAGGAGGUAAGAAAACCUUCACUGGGGCUUCAAGGUGUAAAGAGGAGGAUGUUUCAAAGUGUUCCAUGGUACUCUGAUGAGGACCGUUGUUGUGUUCCACUGGCUGGGAGGAAGAACCCUCACAUCUUCCUCUUGGCCUUUCUCCUCUGAGAAUCCUGGCGCCAUCUUGAAGGAUAUUCCAGCUCAUGUAACUGAUGUCACGACAGAUUCUCAAACACUUGGUUUCUCCUGAGGGGCGUUUCUAUAGAACUGAAGACUUGAGACAGUACUGUAUCCCAGCAUGCAUCUCUGCUCACUCAGACUACACCCCCAUGAGUAGGAUGCAACAUUCUAGUGAUUGAGAUGUAGAGUUUUUUUUAAGUAACGAGGGAGCAGACAAAGGUGAUUAGAACUCAAUGGCAUGUCAAGUCUGUAAAUCUUUAAACCAUGGAGAUGGUUGGAUAGUUCAGGAAUUGGGCUUCUAUUUAUUAUGAGCAGUCCUUUCGCUCAGAUGCCCACUUCUCACUGGACCUGACCAUGUGUUGGCUGGCUGGCAUGAUUUGCUGUUGGUGAUGAGGCGGUCAAGGUGACGUUGCAGGGCUAUGGUCGGCUCUGUGUGAGCUCAACGUUUAGAUUUGCUCUGUAUGGUUUGUACGCUGAAUAAUCUAGAUAAUUGUAAAAUGUAGACACGGUUUUGUAUUGAAUGAUUCCAUUGUUCUUAGGCAAGGAUUUGAGGUUUAAAGUUGUUGUGGGACGUACAUGGUAGUUUGGUUCUUUGUACGGUUUUGAGUGAUAUAACUUGUACACACUGGGUGCAUAAUAAUGUAACGGUACACUGAAUAGUAUUAAUGACCAACAGCAACAAACAGAUCUCCUCAAGGUAAGUCUGUUGGCUGUAUUUUAAUGAAGACCAUCGCUGGACUCCAGGAUCUUCCUCCGUUCAGCUCAAGGUGAGGCGCUGGUUAUGUUUUUUUCAUUGGUUGGUUCCGGCCGGAAUGUUCGGAUUCCGGUCGGACGGUUUGUGCUUCCCGCCGUGGAGGUUUCUGAGUGCGGUCACUUUAUUUAGUCCCAAUGGUUAGCAUAGAACGUUGUAGUCUUGAUAAACAUUAGAAGCCACCUGGCAGUUAGUUGGACCGGAGUCCCCUGAGGGAAUCUGGCAGAACGUUCUGGAUUGUAUUUGCGUAACCUCGAGCCGCUGCCAACGGAAACAAUUUUUCAGUCGGUUUCCAUUGGGAAUUGUUGCCCCUCAUCUUAAACAACUUUAAGUUUGAUAUUAAAUAAUACAUUUAAUUUAAAGGGCGCCUUUCAAGACACCCAAGGUCACCUUACAGAGCAUAAAGUUAUUAUAAAUCGUUUAAAAACAAGACAUUGUGGAAAAAUAAUAACAAAUAAAUAAAUAAAACAAAAACAAGACAAAACAAACAAUCAAGACGGUGAUCAGUUAGACGUAAAUACAUACUGACACGUACGUCGUACAAGAUCUUGAUAAUUUUCGAUGGUUGCGCCGUACUUCUAACCACGUUGACGGGACUCGCGCUGCGUACGAAACGGCCUUCUACUUGCGGGCCCAUUUUUGACAUCAGUGAAGGCUGUAAAUCAUUUCAAGCUGGAAGACAUUUUGACAGUUCUUCAACGGAACCCAACACCUGAAUAUGGCUGAGUAAAUUUGAUUUAAUAUCGAUACUGCUUAGUGUUUGUUACUUCAGCUUUUGUACGUUCUAAAUAUCUGCGGCCAUUAAUUGCCACAGAAGUUAAACCCUACCCAAUGGAAUGACGUUAAACAACGACUUUGUUGCAGAGUUACCAACUGGAUAAUAUCAAAGCUAAAAUAAUGGCCGUUCUUCUCACAUGUUACAGUAGAAGAUUAUCCAGAACUGUAAAGGGUUAAAAAGGUAACAUGUAGUUUGUCCCAAGGUGUCUGCCUCCUCACCCAGAGCAAGACCUCCACCUCCUCACCCAGAGCCAGACCUCCACCUCCUGUCAGAAGUCCUCCAGAACAGGUCAGUGCUCUGGUGUGCGAGUAGAGUCUUCUCAGGUCAGUUUCAAUGCAUGGCCUGAACCACUUCUUUAAACUUGUGGACUGCUGUCUUCAUUCCCAAAAACGGGAUGCUCAUGUCUGGUCUCAAGUCUUUUCUAGCCUUGAGUUAUAAAAUAAUGGUUAAAUUAAUUGUGUAACUCGGUUUCGGAUGAGUCAAUUAAGUUUAUUGUUGGGCAAAUUCUGAUAUAACCCUGCUGCUGUAUCUGAAAGGCGAGGCUGAGAGGCUGGGGACCGGAGGCUUGUGGUGUCAGGGUGGACCGGAGACUGAGGCUGGAGACCAGGGGCCUGCAGCACCAGACCAGAGGACCAGGAAUCCAUGUCUGGAGGAGCUGAUGGAGGAGCCGUGCUGAUGGAGGAGCCGUGCUGAAGGAGCUGAUGGAGGAGCCCUGCUGAAGGCCCUGCCUGGUGGAGGCCCUGCCUGGUGGAGGACGUCUGUCGUGGGGUAGAUGGAGCUUGACUCUGAAACCAGGACUCUGUCUGAGGAGAGCUGCUGGAGGAGUUGAGACGCUGGAGGACGACUAGGAAUCGACCAACAAGGAUUCCUCAACGUGUUUCUGGAGCGGAGACGUUGGGGCCGGACUUGCGCUGUUUGUUCCAGACCAGGAUUCUGUCUGAGGAGAGCUGCUGGAGGAGCCAAGACUCUGGAGGACGACAUCACUCCACCAACCAGGAUCCUCACCAGGAAUCUGGAGGACUGAUGGAGAAGCCGUACAUCUGGAAGGCAAAUCCUGAGGACAACCAGGACUCUACCAUCAAGGAUUCCUCACACACCUGAGCUGAACCCCAACUGAACCUGACAUCCUGCUGGUCCCGUCUCCUCAGUUCAUCUUAGCCUCCUCUUCCAGAAGACCUGCUGAGCUCAGCAGUCUGAGGCUGAUGUAUCAAUGACCUCCAGUGGGAGUGAUCUUCUUGACCCCACAUGUAACCGUGUGCUUCCACACGCCUUUCCCUCACGUCUGUCACUAACCUCACUACUCUCUACUGCUUCCUCUUCUUUUUCCUUCUCUGUGGUUCGAACCUUUACACGGAAGGCGCGUCUUCCUGCCCUCAGAGGGUUCAGCAUUAGGGUUGAGUCAGGGUUUAGAGUCAGGGACAGAGCUGGUCAGGGAGGACUGCUUUAACACAAACCUCUUCACUUGCUUUCGGAAUGGUGGUGACAUUUUGAAAAGAUUCAUUUGGGAAAAUGUUUUCCUCUGCUUCCCUUUACAAAAUUGUAUUAAACUUCUGUCAAGUGCUUUUGUUGAUAUAUUAAAAUCUGUUUUACCACAUGUUGAAGCAAGACUUCCGCUGUUUGUUCCAGACCAGGACUCUUUCUGAGGAGAGCUGCUGGAGGAGCUUAGACGCUGGAGGACGACUAGGAAUCGACCAACAAGGAUUCCUCAACGUGUUUCUGGAGCGGAGACGUUGGGGCCGGACUUGCGCUGUUUGUUCCAGACCAGGAUUCUGUCUGAGGAGAGCUGCUGGAGGAGCCAAGACUCUGGAGGACGACAUCACUCCACCAACCAGGAUCCUCACCAGGAAUCUGGAGGACUGAUGGAGAAGCCGUACAUCUGGAAGGCAAAUCCUGAGGACAACCAGGACUCUACCAUCAAGGAUUCCUCACACACCUGAGCUGAACCCCAACUGAACCUGACAUCCUGCUGGUCCCGUCUCCUCAGUUCAUCUUAGCCUCCUCUUCCAGAAGACCUGCUGAGCUCAGCAGUCUGAGGCUGAUGUAUCAAUGACCUCCAGUGGGAGUGAUCUUCUUGACCCCACAUGUAACCGUGUGCUUCCACACGCCUUUCCCUCACGUCUGUCACUAACCUCACUACUCUCUACUGCUUCCUCUUCUUUUUCCUUCUCUGUGGUUCGAACCUUUACACGGAAGGCGCGUCUUCCUGCCCUCAGAGGGUUCAGCAUUAGGGUUGAGUCAGGGUUUAGAGUCAGGGACAGAGCUGGUCAGGGAGGACUGCUUUAACACAAACCUCUUCACUUGCUUUCGGAAUGGUGGUGACAUUUUGAAAAGAUUCAUUUGGGAAAAUGUUUUCCUCUGCUUCCCUUUACAAAAUUGUAUUAAACUUCUGUCAAGUGCUUUUGUUGAUAUAUUAAAAUCUGUUUUACCACAUGUUGAAGCAAGACUUCCGCUGUUUGUUCCAGACCAGGACUCUUUCUGAGGAGAGCUGCUGGAGGAGCUUAGACGCUGGAGGACGACUAGGAAUCGACCAACAAGGAUUCCUCAACGUGUUUCUGGAGCGGAGGUGAGCUGGUAGGGGAGCCUUGAAUCUGGAGGAGGACCAUCACUCUACCAACAAGGAUUGGAAGUUUGUAUUAACCUAACAAAGUGGAAAUAAAGGGCUUUAAAAUAAGACAAACUACAUAUUUGUUUCCAGACAUUGGGGCCUGACUUGCGCUGUUUGUUCCAGACCAGGAUUCUGUCUGAGGAGAGCUGCUGGAGGAGCCAGGACUCUGGAGGACGACAUCACUCCACCAACCAGGAUCCUCAGACAAAUUACGUUUGUAACCAGACCAGGAAUCUGGAGGACUGAUGGAGAAGCCGUACAUCUGGAAGGCAAAUCCUGAGGACAACCAGGACUCUACCAGCAAGGAUUCCUCACACACCUGAGCUGAACCUCACCUGAUCCUGUUUGUCGGGGGCAGACACACCUGAGCUGAACCCCAACUGAACCUGACAUCCUGUCCCGUCUCCUCAGUUCAUCUUAGCCUCGUCCUCCAGAAGACCUGCUGAGCUCAGCAGUCUGAGGCUGAUGGAUCAAUGACCUCCAGUGGGAGUGAUUUUCUUGACCCCACAUGUAACCGUGUGCUUCCACACGCCUUUCCCUCACGUCUGUCACUAACCUCACUACUUCACUACUCUCUACUGCUUCCUCUUCUUUUUCCUUCUCUGUGGUUCGAACCUUUACACGGAAGGCGCGUCUUCCUGCCCUCAGAGGGUUCAGCGUCAGGGUUUAGAGUCAGGGACAGAGCUGGUCAGGGAGGACUGCUUUAACACAAACCUCUUCAAUUGCUUUCGGAAUGGUGGUGACAUUUUGAAAAGAUUCAUUUGGGAAAAUGUUUUCCUCUGCUUCCCUUUACAAAAUUGUAUUAAACUUCUGUCAAGUGCUUUUGUUUAUAUAUUAAAA